rnacentral:rRNA from 1 species
GCAAGUCGAACGAGGAAAGCACCUUCGGGUGCCGGUACUAGUGGCGCACGGGUGAGUAACGCGUGGAUAAUCUGCCCUCUGHCGGGGAAUAACCAGUCGAAAGACUGGCUAAUACCGCAUAAGACCACAGUCUCUGCGGAGACAGUGGUUAAAGAUUUAUCACCAGAGGAUGAGUCCGCGUCCGAUUAGCUUGAUGGUGGGGUAACGGCCUACCAUAGCUCCGAUCGGUAGCUGGUCUGAGAGGAUGAUCAGCCACACUGGAACUGAGACACGGUCCAGACUCCUACGGGAGGCAGCAGUAGGGAAUCUUGCGCAAUGGGGGAAACCCUGACGCAGCGACGCCGCGUGAGUGAUGAAGGCCUUCGGGUUGUAAAGCUCUGUUCUAUGGGAACAAAAAAAUGAGUGUACCAUAGAAGAAA